UACGGGGGGGGCAAGCGUUGUUCGGAAUUACUGGGCGUAAAGAGCGUGUAGGCGGCCCGGUAAGUCCGCUGUGAAAGUCCAGGGCUCAACCCUGGGAUGCCGGUGGAUACUGUCGGGCUCGAGUCCGGAAGAGGAGUGUGGAAUUCCGGGUGUAGUGGUGAAAUGCGUAGAGAUCCGGAGGAAUACCAGAGGCGAAGGCGGCACCCUGGGUCUGACCUGACACUGAUCCGCGACAGCAUGGGGAGCGAACGGG
rnacentral:rRNA from 1 species